rnacentral:lncRNA from 1 species
AAACUGAAGAAUCAGUUAAGGCAGAAGAGACUCCUGUGGAAGAGGUGGCGGCCGCACCACCUACACCAGAGCCUGUUGCUGAGGAGCCAAAGGAAGCAGAAACUGCAGCUGUGCCCGAGGAAUCUGCGGCUCCAGAAGCUGAAGCCCCUGCUGAUCAGGAUGAGACCAAGGAGGUGGUAGAACAAGUUGAGGUUGAGACCAAGGAGGUGGUGGAAAAAACUGAUCAGGCUGUGGUGGAAGAACCAGCGGUAGAGAAGACAGAAGAGGUCCCAGAGGAGACUCCUGAUCAGGAAACAAACAGCCCAGUUGUGGAGGAAACCAAAGAAGCUACAGAACCAGCUGAGGAACCAGCACCAAAACCAGAACCAGCACCUGCAGAUGAAGCUCCAAAAGAAGAAGGUCCUGCUGCAGAAGAAGAAGAGAAACCAGCUGAAGCUAAAGUGAAAGUUGAGACAGAUGAGAAGGCUGAGUGAUGAGUCUAUGAGUGUAUGGCCGAGUGAAAUUAAAAGUUUGUGUGAUGAGGGGUCUGCUAGGUUGCAUGUCUAGUUAAAGGAGUAUUAAUUUUCUUAGUAUAAUGAGGAAGGUUGAGGUGGAUGGAGCUUGAAAUCAAGGUAUGGGGAUGACCCACAUUGAUCUCUCCAAUGCAAAGUUGGCCCACCUAGUGGGCCAGCUGCAUUGGUACAUAUAUGAAUUAAAUUAAGCAUACUCCAAGCUGCCCACAAGCUUCAUUGGAGGGUGCUUGUGGCGUGUCUUUGCCUCUGUGCAUAAGUAUGUCGAGAGACCAGAUGGGUUAUGUAAUUGUGUGUGAUCAAAUCAUAAUAUAUAUAAUGGCAUCUUUUGG